GGAUGUGAGGGCGAUCUGGCUGCGACAUCUGUCACCCCAUUGAUCGCCAGGGUUGAUUCGGCUGAUCUGGCUGGCUAGGCGGGUGUCCCCUUCCUCCCUCACCACUCCAUGUGCGUCCCUCCCGAAGCUGCGUGCUCGGUCGAAGAGGACGACCAUUCCCGCUAGAGGAGGACCGGUCUUCAGUCAAGGGUAUACGAGUAGCUGCGCUCCCCUGCUAGAACCUCCAAACAAGCUCUCAAAAGGCUUCCAUAGCCAAGGUUGCUCAUGUCAAGAAUCUGGGGGUUCACUUAUAUCAUAUAUAAGAGUGUUAAUUGUUAAAU
rnacentral:snRNA from 1 species